rnacentral:lncRNA from 1 species
GACAGAGGGCACAGCAGACAUACAGAGGACACAGCAGACAGAGGACACAACAGACAGGACACAGCAUACAGACAGAGGGUACAACAGACAGAGGACACAGCAGACAGACAAAGGGCACAACAGACAGACAGAGGGCACAGCAGACAGACAAAGGGCACAGCAGACAGAGGGCACAGCAGACAGACAGAGGACACAGCAGACAGAGGGUACAGCAAACAGACAAAGGACACAGCAGACAGACAGAGGGCACAGCAGGCAGAGGGCACAGCAGACAUACAGAGGACACAGCAGACAGAGGACACAACAGACAGGACACAGCAUACAGACAGAGGGUACAACAGACAGAGGACACAGCAGACAGACAAAGGGCACAACAGACAGACAGAGGGCACAGCAGACAGACAAAGGGCACAGCAGACAUACAGAGGACAUGGCAGACAGACAGAGGACACAGCAGAAAGAAAGAGGGCACAGCAGACAGAAGACACAGCAUACAGCAUAGGAUACACUAGACAGAGGGCACAGCAGACAGAGGACAUAGCAUACAGCAGAGGGUACACUAGACAGAGGGCACAGCAGACAGACAGGGCACAGCAGACAGUCAGAAGACACAGCAGACAGACAGAGGACACAGCAGACAGCAGAGGGCAUAGCAGACAGACAGAGAGCACAGCAGACAGA